GGGGCUGAUCGGUUUCGACUUGGGACGUUCGUCCCAGGGGAAGCGGGUCGAGGAUCCAAGGUCAUCUCGUAAACGAUCCUUGGGAACCAAUAACUGCCAACACCAAGCGCAGUUCGCUCGCUCUCGCCGCCUGACGGCGACUAGCGACGGGUCAGGCUGGGCAUGCCUCCGUCCCAGACCCUGGCCUCAUCAAGGAGGCUUGCUGACGAGCCCGGGCCGCUAGGGCUCGUCGGGACUUCCAAAGCGGCUGAGUCCGUCGGCGACCUGUUCGUGGGAGCGCCGGGACUGAGAAGACGACACCACGGACUGCACCCGGAGAAGCCCUGGCACAGCGCUCGAGGACGCGGGUUCGAUUCCCGCCAGCUCCACCA
rnacentral:tmRNA from 1 species